AAUCUCUCUCUCUCUCUCUCUCUCUCUAGUUAGUAAAGAACAGGCAACGUUUGCCAUGGAAGACUCUACAGUAUACAUAAGACUACAGUGUACAUCCCAACCCUCUACGGCCGUUGCUGCUCCACCCGGGCAUUACCACAUCCACCCGGGUCUACAAGAAACCUCCAGGGCCGAGCUUCAACCACAGAACACCUCGUCACCGUUGAGGAGGUUCCACGCCCCGGACCACAGCCAUGUUAGCCUCGAUAAUAAAACUUGGCGCACUUAUUCUGAGACGUCCUCGUGAGUGAGUGCCCUAAUUGCCUUCAUGGAUAAUGUCACAGGUAUCCGAUGGUUCAGGUGUGAUCUCAGAUAUUUUUGUUAUUGUGUCGUAAAUAUCCAGUGAUUAUUUCCAUUUCCGAGUCGCUGAAUGUUCAUCGCACACAGUUUGUCUUUGAGUAGAAACACUGAUUAAUAUCCAUGAUCGGUUAGGUUACGAACUCCCUCGAUUUCAGGCUGGAGAGCUACACAACACUGGUCAUCCGCUGAGUGGUUGAAUUCCUGGUCUACCGGCCCCUGGAGGAGUGGUCGAUUGCCUGGUCUACCGUGGAUAUGAGUGGUUGAUUCCCUGGUCUACCCCUGGAUGACGCAGCUGUUCCUAUGCAGGGGAGGACUCACACAAGCGAUAAGCACCUGUUGGACCUGGAGACUCCCCCCUGAGCCUGACGGUGGAGCUGUGGGCCCUGCACCAGACCCCCACACACACCCCCACACCACCCAUAGCAGGGGCAGGGCGUUGAGACUCCCCCCACAGGCUAAGACAGGGAGGGACUUGAAGAUCCAGGUUUUUGUCAUCUGCACAGGAAUUGACACUAUAGACAAUAAUUGACAAUAUAGUUUCCUUUUUUGUGUGUGCCCUUGAGCUGUCUCCUUUGUUGUAGAAAAAAAUACUUGACAAGGCUUUCAUAGGUGUUUGGGGCAUUUCCAGGGGUAGUUUAAUGACCCUGGUGGUAGUCUGACCCUUCCUCUGUGCAAUGAACUUGAAAAAAACGCUCAUAAAAAUGCAGAUAUUAACCCAGUAGCAGCGGGGAUCAUGUUUCUUAAUGGUCCCUCCAAGCGAGAAAAAUGAGAAAAAAAAUCACCUCUCACACAAACCAUUUCAUAUAUCUCAAAGCAUUUGCGAUUAGAUUAUGUAUCAUCUAUUUUUGGGGGUUUAUAUCAUGGCACAAAUUUGGCCUGUCGCUGCUACAUGGUAAAGCCACAAAUUUGGCCCAUCACUGCUACCGGGUUAACCUCAUUAUCGUGUUAAAAUCCCUGUAUCUUACUGUUAUCUUCCUCUCCCUCUAUAUUAUUUAUCAAUCUCUCUCUUUCUCUCUCUCCCACAGAUGUCUAAGGUUUCGCCCAUGCAGCUGAAGGGUGCCAAUGCCUACACAUGCGUCGACCACAGGUGCGCGCUGGACAUUGCCUACAAUUCAUGGUUCAAAUGACCUGCUGUGUGUUCUGCUGGAGAAAAACACUGCAUGACUGUUGUUGGGAGGAGACACAGCAUGAAGGCUUCCAGGAGCUGCAAGACAUCCUUGUGGUCAUGGUGCCCGGUCAUUAUGAUGGAGCGUCGGCAGAGAUCGAGCUGGCGGAAGGUUGGCGGCCGGGUCAAGCUCACCACCGACAAGGAUUUCCGUGACGUGCGCUCGGCCAAUGUUGUUGACCUCGGCUAUGACAAUCUUACUAAGAUGGUGGAGAUGGGGAACGGCAUCUACAUUGACGACGGACUCAACGAGAUCGCUGAGACUACUACUACUACUAUUACUAUUACUAUCCUCUAUACUGAUAUGUGUACUAUUAAAUCCUCUAUACUGCUACUAUGUGUACUAUUGAGUCCCUUAUAUAGUACUUCCAUGACAGCUGAUGAGUGAUACUACUACUACUACUGUUACUAUGACCACUCAAUCCCUGGUAAGUACAAUGUCAUUAUUAUCAUUAUUUAGGUUAAGGUCCAUUUAAUUCAAUCUUCCUGAGCGGUUGGACGCUUUAUGGCUCUCCUCCAUUCUACUGUCUUCCGCCCAAUGCUUAUACAGUCCUAUCAAUCCCAAAUCUUCCUGUACACACCUUCUCCACGUUUU